rnacentral:rRNA from 1 species
UACGUAGGGGGCAAGCGUUGUCCGGAUUUAUUGGGCGUAAAGAGCGUGUAGGCGGCCAGACAGGUCCGUUGUGAAAACUCGAGGCUCAACCUCGAGACGCCGAUGGAAACCGUCUGGCUAGAGUCCGGAAGAGGAGAGUGGAAUUCCUGGUGUAGCGGUGAAAUGCACAGAUAUCAGGAAGAACACCCGUGGCUAAGGCGGCUCUCUAGUACGGUACUGACGCUGAGACGCGAAAGCGUGGGGAGCGAACAGG